rnacentral:tRNA from 2 species
GAAUGUGCGGUCUGCCGGGCAUCGUCCUGAUAGGACGAUAAAUCUUGGCAGGCUCUGAUAUCUGCUACAUCCACC